GACGAACGCUGGCGGCGUGCUUAAUACAUGCAAGUCGAGCGAGGUUACUGUUUCGGAUCCCUUCGGGGUGAAGAAGCUUUAACCUAGCGGCGGACGGGUGAGUAACGCGUGGGUAACCUACCCCAAAGUCCGGGAUAACAGCGGGAAACCGCUGCUAAUACCGGAUGCCUUUACCUUGGGGCAUCUUGAGGUAAAGAAAGGUAACGCUUUGGGAUGGGCCCGCGUCCCAUUAGCUAGUUGGUGAGGUAACGGCUCACCAAGGCGACGAUGGGUAGCCGGCCUGAGAGGGUGGACGGCCACACUGGGACUGAGACACGGCCCAGACUCCUACGGGAGGCAGCAGUAGGGAAUAUUGCGCAAUGGACGGAAGUCUGACGCAGCGACGCCGCGUGAGCGAUGAAGGUCUUCGGAUCGUAAAGCUCUGUCCUUGGGGAAGAAGGCGAAAGCUUGACGGUACCCAAGAAGAAAGCCCCGGCUAACUACGUGCCAGCAGCCGCGGUAAUACGUAGGGGGCGAGCGUUGUCCGGAAUUACUGGGCGUAAAGGGUGCGUAGGCGGCCCUUUAAGUCGGAUGUGAAAGCCCGCGGCUUAACCGCGGAAUGGCAUUCGAAACUGGAGGGCUUGAGUGUCGGAGAGGGUAGUGGAAUUCCCAGUGUAGCGGUGAAAUGCGUAGAUUUUGGGAGGAACACCAGUGGCGAAGGCGACUACCUGGACGAUAACUGACGCUGAGGCACGAAAGCUAGGGGAGCAAACAGG
rnacentral:rRNA from 1 species